ACGGGAUUUUUUUCUGUAGCAAUACAGGAAAAAGUCUAGUGGCGAACGGGUGCGUAACACGUGAGCAACCUGCCGUGAAGUGGGGGAUAGCUCGCCGAAAGGCGAAUUAAUACCGCAUGUGGCCAGGAAGGACAUCCUUCCGACGCCAAAGCCGGGGCAACCUGGCGCUUCUCGAGGGGCUCGCGGCCUAUCAGCUUGUUGGUGAGGUAACGGCUCACCAAGGCUAUGACGGGUAGCUGGUCUGAGAGGACGACCAGCCACACUGGAACUGAGACACGGUCCAGACACCUACGGGUGGCAGCAGUCGAGAAUUUUUCACAAUGGGGGAAACCCUGAUGGAGCGACGCCGCGUGGAGGAUGAAGGUUUUCGGAUUGUAAACUCCUGUCAUUAGAGAACAAGGCACACGGUUUAACUGGCUGUGUGUUGAUAGUAUCUGAAGAGGAAGAGACGGCUAACUCUGUGCCAGCAGCCGCGGUAAUACAGAGGUCUCAAGCGUUGUUCGGAUUCAUUGGGCGUAAAGGGUGCGUAGGUGGCGAUGUAAGUCGGAUGUGAAAUCUCCAAGCUUAACUUGGAAACUGCAUUCGAUACUGCGUUGCUAGAGGACUGUAGAGGGCAUUGGAAUUCACGGUGUAGCAGUGAAAUGCGUAGAUAUCGUGAGGAAGACCAGUGGCGAAGGCGAAUGCCUGGGCAGUUCCUGACACUGAGGCACGAAGGCCAGGGGAGCAAACGGGAUUAGAUACCCCGGUAGUCCUGGCAGUAAACGGUGCACGUUUGGUGUGGGAGGAUUCGACCCCUUCCGUGCCGGAGCUAACGCGUUA
rnacentral:rRNA from 1 species